rnacentral:rRNA from 1 species
GACGAACGCUGGCGGCGUGCCUAAUACAUGCAAGUCGAACGCAGUGGGGACGGGUGAGUAACACGUGGGUAACCUCCCAUCAGAGGGGAUAACACUUGGAAACAGGUGCUAAACCGAUACUGAUGGAUGGACCCGCGGUGAAUUAGCUAGUUGGGGAGGUAACGGCGCACCAAGGCCACGAUUCAUAGCCUACCGGCGAGGGGGAUCGGCCAUACUGGGACUGGGACACGGCUCAGACUCCUACGGGAGGCAGCAGUAGGGAAUCUUCGGCAAUGGACGAAAGUCUGACCGAGCAACGCCGCUUGAGUGAAGAAGGUUGUCGGAUCGUAAACCUCUGUUGUUAGAGAAGCGGUAUCUAACCAGAAAGCCACGGCUAACUACGUGCCAGCAGCCGCGGUAAUC